ACUUGGACACCAUGAGUAAUGACAUGCUUAUACAAUACUUACUAAUUUCUUAAACCCAAAAUGUUUCUGGGAAGAUUAGCAUUUUUUUUACACCCUGAUUAGAUCAGCGUGAUCAACUCGAGUCCUCUUUAAUUUGUUGCACCUUUUAAAAGAAUAGUUCCCAACAUCUAAUACAAUUUUACAUUAUCCAACAUCUAUCUCACUGCAUUGAUUUUCUUGAUAAAACAACCGCAGUUACAUCACUUAAUUCCAUUUUACAUUGAUGGAACAUCAUGUAUCCUGCCUAAUUCUUACUGAGACGAGACACCCAGCUGCAGCUCACCAAGUUUUUGUGCUGCAGCAGCCAAUGUAGCAUCGCUUUUGCAGAAAGCAAACCUGAUGUACCUCUUCUGGUAGUUACAACUUACCUGAGAUGGUUUCUCCGAAGAUAAAUUUGUGUGAAAGAAUCCGCAACCUGGUACUGCAACCACCCCUGCUUGUUCUAUUAAUUCCUUGACAUAUUCUACCUAAUCCAUCAAAAUGAGGGAUAAGGUGGAAAGAUGAUAGAUUGGUUAGCACCACUAUUGGAUAUCUGCUUACAUGAUUAGAAUUUGAAAGCAAAACUGCAAAUUAUAGAUUCUUGGUAUGAUUAGAUCAACAAAGUAAAAGAAUAUACUGACAUCAGAAAGUGAGGAAUUUUUAGGAAGCUCUGCAAAUAAAAAGAAUGAACCCUGAGGCUUAAAUUGAAUCUGAAAGCCAAUCUUAGCAAGCAGCUCCACAAGGUAAUCUCUUUUUGAUUCAUAACCCUGAACAACGAAAAAAAAUGAUCUUAGCAAAUAAUUAUAAUAAAUAGUAGAAUCACAAUCCCAGUUUUUUCUCUUUUCUUCUGGUCCAACUAGAAGCCUAUUUGGACAGGGUACAAAAUAGAGAUUAGCCAUUCCCUAGUCCAUAAGUCUCUCCUCUACCCCAUCCCAUACGAAUUUAAAGUUGAGGCCUCCUGCUCCUCGGCGAAAAUGAUGCAAUAACUUAUUGAUGUAGAUAAAUAAGUUAUUAUGGGUCAUCCAUCACAAACCAAGUAAAAGCUUUUCAGGACCUACUCUUCUCAAUGAUUCAUAAUAAUCUGGAGGGCUUCUUAAGGCGGUCAAGGCUGCUUCUUGGAAAGGUGCUGGAGCAGAGUCAGUGAGUUUAACAUGAAUAUUUCUAAUUGCAGAGGCAAAGAAAGCUGGAGCAAUCGCCCACCCAAUCCUCCACCCUGAUAGAUAGCAUAGCAACCGUGAGAGUGCAGCUCUAUGACAGUAAUUGAUUUCUCAAUAUCAAUACACUUAGUGCAUGAUUGAAAUGCAAUUCCUAGAAUAGGAUUCCUCUUUCUUAUACUUGAAUUUCUUGAAUUUAGAUGAAAAUCAAAUCUAAUUUGAAGUUCCAUUGAAUUAUUUUUAAGAUACAAAAAUGAAUCGGAAUGGGAAUGUCUAGAUGACAUCCAUUUACUUUCCCAAACCAUUUCCAAGGCCAAUAAAUGUGGCCUUAGAGAUAACAGAUGAUGGGGAUAUUAAUCACAAGUUUGCAACACAUGAAAGAAUGGGUUUUGACCAUAUGAACCAGCUCAGAAGAACUCAUGUGGUAAGAUGUGGGCUUUGACCUGUGACACUGAAAGUUUUUGAUAAAGAAGAAGUAAUGAUAGUCCGCUCUUGCAUUCCUGGAAGUGAGGCAAGGGAUUUGUGCUUUAUGUUUUCAUAUGUUAAAUGCUCGUAAACCUGCAGGAAAAAAAAAAUCCUUCAGAUAUUGGAGAUAGAAGUCACCUACGUUUACUGCAAGUUUAAUCACAUGAGAAACACAUUAGGACCACAACAUCAGGAAAAAUGCGACACGGAGUCUAAACUUGCACCAUUCCAAUACAAUAUUAGCAAGCUUUUAAACUUUUUUUAAUUCUCAUGUGACAUAAAAUAAGUUUAUCCUCCCCUCUCUAUCAUCUUUCGAUGAACCAUAACAAUGUCUAACAAUUUGUAAGUAUUUCAGAAUGCCUAACUGCAGCAACAAACUUUGGAAAGAUGAAUGACACCCUCACCUCCAAGAGUUAAUCACGUUCACAUUUUAUUCAAUGAAAUUCCCUGGCAUUGUUGAAACAUGACCACAUUCAUACAAACAAGCAUCAGUAUCACAAAUAACUCAAAAUGGAAACCUCAGCUGACACCCACUUACGCCAAAAACUAUCAAUAAUCAGAACUUCUUUUUUUGCUUUUAUCUGAUUAUUAUGGAAAUAAUAGGCAACAAACAGCACUUAAGGUCAAAAAGCUUUACAUAUUUCUCUUUUAAGAAUUAUCAUGCUAUUGUUAAAAAGUGCAAACCAAAGGAUAUCAUACUUCAUCUGUUAUAGCUAGGCAAUCCCUUCUGCAACAAGCUCCUGCAAUGAUCUCAAGCUCAUCUUUAGUGAAAACUUUCCCAGUUGGAUUCUGAGGACUGUGCCACUUCAUGUCAGUAAGUCAUAAAUCCAUUAUUUAUGAGGCAUCAUCUUCUUAAGUUCUAUUUGUUGAUACAGAUUCUAACAAAUCAAAUAAAAAGAUUGUAACAUGCUACAAUUUUGUUUUUUUCCAGUUUCUUCCUAACUAGAGACAAAAUAUUGGGUAAUAAACAAAGCAACAGACUAAGAGCAAUUGCCUAUUAAACUUGUUUCAUUUAGUCUAAUUGCCUGCCUUAAAAAAUAUAUAGAAAUGUGAUAUGUGUAGCACUUAUAAAUACACCUCCUGCUAGUUCUUAUUAUCAUCUUGGUCAAAAUGUAAAGUACAAAGUUGCACCACAGGCAGGUUUGUGAAUGCCAUAAAAAUUGAGGCAUUUAACAAAAUCAACAAGAAUACUCCUACCAGCGAUAAGAAAAUCUUUUCCUCUUUCACUCACAAGUGAAAAUAAAUGAAUGCUUAAUCAAAUAUCUACUCUAUUGAUGAUUAACAUGCUAUGAUUUUGUGGAGAAAGACUUCAAUUCCGUUGAGUGAACUCUUUAACCUGUUUAAUAUCACAGCUUUUGUUCUCCGAGUAAAAGACCCCAUGAAUUUGUCUGAAUCCAAACUCCAAUAAGGAGGCUCAAGUCCCACGUAUACCUGUAACAAAUCCAUUUUUCUUUAUAAUAAUCGUCAAUUCAAAUAUUCCUAUUCUUGCCUUUACAAUCGUCAAUAUUCACUAGUACUCUUGAAACCGUGGUUCAAAAUCAAAAACCGCAUUAAUUGAUAGCAAAAGGCUUACAGGGAUUCCUCCAGCCAUUCUGAUGCACCCCUCAUAUGAAGGGUCAAACAGCACUACUUCAUCCCCCGGGUCUAUCACUGUCAAAAAGGAGCCAGUAACAUAAAUACCCAAAUUGUUCAUGUAAUGAACAAAACAAGUAAAAACUAUCAUGUAAAUGGCAACUUGAGAACAGCGGAAAAAAAACCAGCAAACACUGCGGCUGCAAAUGCCUCGGUUUGGCCGCAGCAAAUGGCUAUAUCAGUCUGAGGGUCAACAUCAAAACCAUGCAUUUCCUUCGUAGUUCUCGCCAAGUGCUCACAAAUUCCUUGCACAUGCCUUAAUUUACAACAUUUAGGCUCCGUUAGUUCUGCAAAUAAAAUGAGUUCUAUUAAAAUGAGCGUAUUUUCUACAUUAGGCUUGCAACCUGUACUGAUUGAAGUCAGAAUUAAUGGCCGAAACGGCAGCGAUUUUCAAGUGGAUGGGAGCCGGAAAGUCCGGGAAGCCUUCGGCGAGGUUGAUCGCGUUGCAUCUCUGAGCAAAGUGAGAGAGCUCUUGAAUAGGUGAGGGAGUGAAGGUCUUUGCAACUGAGGAUAGCUUCUUCUCCAUGGGCCACUUCGUCUCUGCUCU
rnacentral:misc_RNA from 1 species